rnacentral:rRNA from 1 species
GCAAGUCGAACGAUCCCUUUCUUCGGAGGGGGAUAGUGGCAAACGGGUGAGUAACACGUGGGUAAUUUACCUUUAGAUUCGGGAUAACUUGCCGAAAGGCGGACUAAUACCGGAUAAGACUACGAUUACUAAGUAGUAGUAGUUAAAGAUGGGGAUUCUGAAAAUGAACCUGUCGUCUAUUGAUAAGCCCGCGUCCUAUCAGCUUGUUGGUGGGGUAAAAGCCUACCAAGGCGAAGACGGGUAGCUGGUCUGAGAGGAUGGUC